AACACAUGCAAGUCGAACGCCGUAGCAAUACGGAGUGGCAGACGGGUGAGUAACACGUGGGAACGUACCCUUCGGUUCGGAAUAACUCGGGGAAACUCGAGCUAAUACCGGAUACGUCCGAGAGGAGAAAGAUUUAUUGCCGAAGGAUCGGCCCGCGUCUGAUUAGCUUGUUGGUGAGGUAACGGCUCACCAAGGCGACGAUCAGUAGCUGGUCUGAGAGGAUGAUCAGCCACAUUGGGACUGAGACACGGCCCAAACUCCUACGGGAGGCAGCAGUGGGGAAUAUUGGACAAUGGGCGAAAGCCUGAUCCAGCCAUGCCGCGUGAGUGAUGAAGGCCUUAGGGUUGUAAAGCUCUUUUACCUGGGAAGAUAAUGACGGUACCAGGAGAAUAAGCCCCGGCUAACUUCGUGCCAGCAGCCGCGGUAAUACGAAGGGGGCUAGCGUUGUUCGGAUUUACUGGGCGUAAAGCGCACGUAGGCGGAUCUUUAAGUCAGAGGUGAAAGCCUGGAGCUCAACUCCAGAACUGCCUUUGAUACUGGGGAUCUCGAGUCCGGGAGAGGUGAGUGGAACUGCGAGUGUAGAGGUGAAAUUCGUAGAUAUUCGCAAGAACACCAGUGGCGAAGGCGGCUCACUGGCCCGGUACUGACGCUGAGGUGCGAAAGCGUGGGGAGCAAACAGGAUUAGAUACCCUGGUAGUCCACGCCGUAAACGAUGGAUGCCAGCCGUUGGACAGCUUGCUGUUCAGUGGCGCAGUUAACGCUUUAAGCAUCCCGCCUGGGGAGUACGGUCGCAAGAUUAAAACUCAAAGGAAUUGACGG
rnacentral:rRNA from 1 species